UACGUAGGGAGCAAGCGUUGUCCGGAAUCAUUGGGCGUAAAGCGCGCGUAGGUGGCCGCAUAAGUCCGUUGUGAAAGUCAAAGGCUCAACCUUUGAAAGCCGAUGGAUACUGUGUGGCUAGAGUACGGAAGAGGCGAGUGGAAUUCCUGGUGUAGCGGUGGAAUGCGCAGAUAUCAGGAGGAACACCAAUAGCGAAGGCAGCUCGCUGGGACGUUACUGACACUGAGGCGCGAAAGCGUGGGGAGCGAACAGG
rnacentral:rRNA from 1 species